UACUUCUUUACAUCAUGCACUACACUUCUAGAACUGCUUUUGCCAAGUCGAUCAACUUAGUUUUACACUUUUAAAAUUACUUUUUUAGAUGUCGAUUGUUGCGUAUUUUUAACAGAUAUGCCACUGGAUUUGAGAUGAUAUAAAAUUUGCAGACCACUUUAACGGAUUUUCAACUUUUGGUUACAACGGAUCGACAAAGACUUGGACUGAUCAACUUGGGACGAUUAAAUAAAUAAAUAAAUAAAAAAUACUUUUCCUUAAAAAAAAUUGAAAUAAUU